rnacentral:rRNA from 1 species
UACAGAGGUCUCAAGCGUUGUUCGGAUUCAUUGGGCGUAAAGGGUGCGUAGGCGGCGCGGUAAGUCGGGUGUGAAAUCUCGGAGCUUAACUCCGAAACUGCAUUCGAUACUGCCGUGCUUGAGGACUGGAGAGGAGACUGGAAUUUACGGUGUAGCGGUGAAAUGCGUAGAUAUCGUAAGGAAGACCAGUGGCGAAGGCGGGUCUCUGGACCACAACUGACGCUGAUGCGCGAAAGCUAGGGGAGCAAACAGG